GAUGAACGCUGGCGGCGUGCCUAAUACAUGCAAGUCGAGCGAACAGACGAGGAGCUUGCUCCUCUGACGUUAGCGGCGGACGGGUGAGUAACACGUGGAUAACCUACCUAUAAGACUGGGAUAACUUCGGGAAACCGGAGCUAAUACCGGAUAAUAUAUUGAACCGCAUGGUUCAAUAGUGAAAGACGGUUUUGCUGUCACUUAUAGAUGGAUCCGCGCCGCAUUAGCUAGUUGGUAAGGUAACGGCUUACCAAGGCAACGAUGCGUAGCCGACCUGAGAGGGUGAUCGGCCCCACUGGAACUGAGACGCGGUCCAGACUCCUACGGGAGGCAGCAGUAGGGAAUCUUCCGCAAUGGGCGAAAGCUUGACGGAGCAACGCCGCGUGAGUGAUGAAGGUCUUCGGAUCGUAAAACUCUGUUAUUAGGGAAGAACAAAUGUGUAAGUAACUAUGCACGUCUUGACGGUACCUAAUCAGAAAGCCACGGCUAACUACGUG
rnacentral:rRNA from 1 species